UACGGGGGGGGCAAGCGUUGUUCGGAAUUACUGGGCGUAAAGGGCUCGUAGGCGGCCAACUAAGUCAGACGUGAAAUCCCUCGGCUUAACCGGGGAACUGCGUCUGAUACUGGAUGGCUAGAGGUUGGGAGAGGGAUGCGGAAUUCCAGGUGUAGAGGUGAAAUGCGUAGAUAUCUGGAGGAACACCGGUGGCGAAGGCGGCAUCCUGGACCAAUUCUGACGCUGAGGAGCGAAAGCCAGGGGAGCAAACGGG
rnacentral:rRNA from 1 species